CUUUCUUUGCUGGCGACCGGCGCACGGGUGAGUAACACGUAUCCAACCUGCCCCUUACUCGGGGAUAGCCUUUCGAAAGAAAGAUUAAUACCCGAUAGCAUAAUGAUUCCGCAUGGUUUCAUUAUUAAAGGAUUCCGGUAAAGGAUGGGGAUGCGUUCCAUUAGGUUGUUGGUGAGGUAACGGCCCACCAAGCCUUCGAUGGAUAGGGGUUCUGAGAGGAAGGUCCCCCACAUUGGAACUGAGACACGGUCCAA
rnacentral:rRNA from 1 species